rnacentral:rRNA from 1 species
CGUAGGGUGGCAAGCGUUGUCCGGAAUUAUUGGGCGUAAAGAGCUCGUAGGCGGUUUGUUGCGUCGGCUGUGAAAUCCGAGGCUCAACCUCGGGUCUGCAGUCGAUACGAGCAAACUAGAGUGUUGCAGGGGAGACUGGAAUUCCUGGUGUAGCGGUGAAAUGCGCAGAUAUCAGGAGGAACACCGGUGGCGAAGGCGGGUCUCUGGGCAACAACUGACGCUGAGGAGCGAAAAGCGUGGGGAGCGAACAGGAUUAGAUACCCUGGUAGUCCACGCCGUAAACGUUGGGCGCUAGGUGUGGGGCUCGAUUCCACGAGUUCCGUGCCGCAGCUAACGCAUUAAGCGCCCCGCCUGGGGGAGUACGGCCGCAAGGCUA